CAGCGAGCAGCUUGUUGAUUUUUAGGUUUUGCCGCAAGCAGCUUGUUGAUUGUAAGUAUUAAUUUGUCUAUUUUGUAUCUUUAAUUCAGCAGUAAAAUUUUAAUGAGUUGUAUCUUUCAGAUAGCGCUUGAAGAUGCCACUGUCUAGUACUUGUAUUAAGUGUUCUUGUUUGAUUAAUGAGAGUAUAAACUGCUUACGAAGCUUGUGUGUGGGUUUUGCAGCAAGCAGCUUGUUGGUUGUAAGUAUUAAUUUGUCUAUUUUGUGUCCUUAAUUCAGCAGUAAAAUUUUAAUGAGUUGUAUCUUUCAGAUAGCGCUUGAAGAUGACACUGUCUGGUACUUGUAUAAAGUGUUCGUGAUUUAUUAAUGAGAGUAUAAACUUUUUCAGCCUGCAUGCGAGGGAAUCACAUACACAAUU